rnacentral:rRNA from 1 species
GACGAACGCUGGCGGCGUGCUUAACACAUGCAAGUCGAACGGAAAGGCCCUGCUUUUGUGGGGUGCUCGAGUGGCGAACGGGUGAGUAACACGUGAGUAACCUGCCCUUGACUUUGGGAUAACUUCAGGAAACUGGGGCUAAUACCGGAUAGGAGCUCCUGCUGCAUGGUGGGGGUUGGAAAGUUUCGGCGGUUGGGGAUGGACUCGCGGCUUAUCAGCUUGUUGGUGGGGUAGUGGCUUACCAAGGCUUUGACGGGUAGCCGGCCUGAGAGGGUGACCGGCCACAUUGGGACUGAGAUACGGCCCAGACUCCUACGGGAGGCAGCAGUGGGGAAUAUUGCACAAUGGGCGGAAGCCUGAUGCAGCAACGCCGCGUGCGGGAUGACGGCCUUCGGGUUGUAAACCGCUUUCGCCUGUUACGAAGCGUGAGUGACGGUAAUGGGUGAAGAAGCACCGGCUAACUACGUG